UACGUAGGGCGCAAGCGUUGUCCGGAAUUAUUGGGCGUAAAGAGCGCGUAGGCGGCCUGUUACGUCUGCUGUGAAAUCCCGGGGCUUAACCCCGGGCGUGCAGUGGAUACGGGCAGGCUGGAGGCAGGCAGGGGAGAACGGAAUUCCCGGUGUAGCGGUGAAAUGCGCAGAUAUCGGGAGGAACACCAAUGGCGAAGGCAGCGCGCUGGGACGGUACUGACGCUGAGACGCGAAAGCGUGGGGAGCAAACAGG
rnacentral:rRNA from 1 species